ACUCAAAUGAAUUGACGGGGACCCGCACAAGCGGUGGAGUAUGUGGUUUAAUUCGACGCAACACGAAAAACCUUACCUGGGCUCGAACGACUGGAAGUAGAAUUGAUGAAAGUCGAGACGACCUGUAAAAUCAGGAGCCAGCCGAGGUGCUGCAUGGUUGUCGUCAGCUCGUGUCGUGAGAUGUUGGGUUAAGUCCCGCAACGAGCGCAACCCCCAUUUCCUGUUGCCACCCUCGAGCAAUCGGGGAGCACUCUGGAGAAACUGCCCACGAUGAGUGGGAGGAAGGUGGGGAUGACGUCAAAUCACCAUGGCCCUUAUGUCCAGGGCUACACACGUACUACAAUGGCCGAUACAAUGGGAUGCAAUGCAGCAAUGCGGAGCCAAUCCCCUCAAAGUCGGCCUCAGUUCAGAUUGUGGGCUGCAACUCGUCCACAUGAAGGAGGAAUCGCUAGUAAUCGCGAAUCAGAAGGUCGCGGUGAAUACGUUCCCGGGUCUUGUACACACCGCCCGU
rnacentral:rRNA from 1 species